rnacentral:rRNA from 1 species
UACAGAGGUCCCAAGCGUUGUUCGGAUUCACUGGGCGUAAAGGGUGCGUAGGUGGUGGGGUAAGUUUGAUGUGAAAGCUCCGAGCUUAACUCGGAAAUGGCAUUGAAUACUAUCCUGCUUGAGGUUUGGAGGGGGGACUGGAAUUCUCGGUGUAGCAGUGAAAUGCGUAGAUAUCGAGAGGAACACCAGUGGCGAAGGCGAGUCCCUGGACAACACCUGACACUGAGGCACGAAAGCGUGGGGAGCAAACAGG